UGCUAGUCGAGCGCCUUCUAGCCAAAAGGAGGCGCGGCGCACAGCUCAGUAACACGUGGCUAACCUGCCCUUGGGAUAGGAAUACUCCCGGGAAACUGGGGCUAAUUCCCAAUAGGUGAAGAACUCUGGAAUGAGUCUUCUCCAGAAAGGACUCCUGCACUAUGCUUGCAGGUUUCGCCCAAGGAUGGGGCCGCGACCGAUCAGGUUGUUGGUGAGGUAAUGGCUCACCAAGCCUUUUACCGGUGCGGGCCGUGGGAGCGGGAGCCCGGAGAUGGGCACUGAGACAAGGGCCCAGGCCCUACGGGGCGCAGCAGUCGCGAAAACUUUGCAAUACACGAAAGUGUGACAGAGCUAUCCCGAGUGCCAUCCGCUGAGGAAGGCUUUUACCCAGUAUAGAUCGCUGGGGGAAUAAGGAGAGGGCAAGUCUGGUGUCAGCCGCCGCGGUAAUACCAGCUCUCCGAGUGGUGUGGAUGUUUAUUGGGCCUAAAGCAUCCGUAGCUGGCUAAGUUAGUCCCUUGUUAAAUCCACCGAAUUAAUCGUUGGAUUGCGGGGGAUACUGCUUGGCUAGGGGACGAGAGAGGCAGACGGUAUUUCCGGGGUAGGGGUGAAAUCCUAUAAUCCCGGGAAGACCACCAGUGGCGAAGGCUGUCUGCUAGAACGCGCCCGACGGUGAGGGAUGAAAGCUGGGGGAGCGAACCGGAUUAGAUACCCGGGUAGUCCCAGCUGUAAACGAUGCAGGCUAGGUGUUUGGACGGCCACGUGCCGUUCUAGUGCCGCAGGGAAGCUGUUAAGCCUGCCGCCUGGGGAGUACGAUCGCAAGAUUGAAACUUAA
rnacentral:rRNA from 1 species